rnacentral:rRNA from 1 species
GAUUUCUGGCUCGAUACAUUUUGCCGGCCACGGUUUCGUGUGUUAGUGCAUUAUGUUCUUGCCAUCCUUCCAAUUGCUGCUUACUUUUCUUCAUUGAUUGGUAAUCCCUAUCAAUCAUUACUUCAGUCCUAGAAACCAACAAAAUAGAACCGAAGUCCUAAAUUAUUAUUCCAUGCUAAUGUAUUCAUAGCAUAAAGCCUGCUUGAAACACUCUAAUUUUUUCAAAGUAAAAGAUCCAACACCACUAGUUGGGGGUGCUAGUAUUCAGCGGCCAGAGGUGAAAUUCUCGGAUUCGCUGAAGACUAACUUAUGCGAAAGCAUU